rnacentral:lncRNA from 1 species
UCUUCUAGAUGAUAGAAAAUUGCGCGGCACGUUAAUAUCUCUAUGUAAACCCGACGUGUGGGCCUUUCUUCCGUAUUUCCUGAUAACCCCCCUGCAGAAAUAGACAAACACCAAAACUUGUGGAAUUCUGUCAGAUAAAACCCUAAGUCUAGGUGUUGGUUCCAUUUAGAUCCUUUUCCAUGAUUAGUUGAUGGUUAAAUGUGAGCAUUAAGGACCGUCAACAAGCUCCCCCAAGCUUAACCUUUGCUUGUCCCUGAGCAAAGAUGGACUCAAGAGUUUCUGCAGUGGUUUCAUGCCUUAAAGAUACACAUGCAUUUAAACAAGAUCUCAUCUCUGGGUUAGGGUAAACUGUUAAGAUUUAAACUUACUCAUUUACCUUUCACCAUGGGACUUGUAACCGUCACUUCUGUCUUGAGUAGUUAAAAGAUAGAACAGUCUAGUCAAGCGCCAUGUCUCUUGUUCUUCGAUUAACUAUAGCUCUGGAGUUUUUGCAGAUUUUCAAAUAAAACUUAGAGAUUCCUUGUAUGACUCUCUCUAGUCUCUCUUUUGUGGUAUUUCUGGAUCCUUACCAAGGCAGUAUUGGUAUAUGCCUUCUCUCAAAGUAUGUGGUAUUUGUGGUAUAAGGCAUAGUGGCAUUGCCUUCUCUCUCACCCUACUCUAAUAAGGCUUUUGAUAUCUGGAGCUCAUAGGUGGGAGACCGCUAAUACAUACUUACAAGACAUUUAUUGCAUAGUCAAACCAUGGAUCCAGAGAAACAAGUCAAUAAGUCAAAUCAAGAUGUGCAUGUGUGGCGAAUGAAUGAUGCAUGAUAAUGAUGGUGAUAACAAUGGUGAAAGUCUAAUUCUACUUUUGCUCUUUUGAGGGGAUACAUACCUUCCUUGCUUUUUUGAAACUUUUGGGGAGAAUGAGAUGCUCUGUAUUUUCUUUUUCUUUCCUCUCAGGUGGGUAUCUUGUACCCCUAAUUCUACUGUCGGACACUUGUCCAUUUUUACCUCUCGUCUCACUUUUUUUUUCUUGCGAGGUUCCGGGCACUUGCCCCUUUUUAUUUCCUCGUAUCUUUUUUCUUUUUUCUUCUCUCUCUUUUUUUAGAGCACUCAUUUCCUAAAAUAAUAUAGCAAGUGGUAGUAAUCAAGAUAACUUGAGCAUUUAUUUCACAGGGGAAAACAGAAAUAGGAGAAUGUUUUUGGCUAUUCUCUCCCGGAUUAGGAGUAGAAUAUUUUUGGGUGGUUCUGGAGAUGGAAAUGGAUGGAUAUAUGUGGAUGCGUACUUCCGGAGUAGAAGCAGCAUGUAUGAGUGAACGUGCAAGUGAAUCUUGAUUUUAACCAUAUGACAAGCUCCUAAGGGUCUACACAGCUUGACCACACUCAAUGCUCAUAAGCAGUAAAAAGUAAAUGUGUGGCUCAAAGUCUAACAAGCAUGUAUAUAUGGCUGUGGUAGGAAUUUAAACUCUCAUCAUACAGGAACUCAUCAUGUGUUAUUUUAAAGAUUUUCAAAGAUAAAAAUUCUCCAGAAUUCUAGCAUCUCUAGGAACACAUAAACAGCAGCUCAACCUUCCCAUAUCGUAUCCGUUAAUGACUUAGACUUUAGAUCAAGUACUCUCCCCACAAGUUCAGGUUUAGAGCAAAACUUAAUUAAUAACAGUUAGGCCUAAACUUGAGAGAGAUUUCAAUUUUAAGAACUAGUCAUGGCAGAGCAACUAUUCAUCAUUUCUAUGUGAGAGCUUAUUAUGAGAGUUUAUAGCAAACUUUAUUUAUUUAUUUAUUUAGCAAACUAAGCAAAGAUAUAUAUGAGCAUAAAAUCUUUAUUUGGGUUUUUAUGAUUAUGCAUCUUUUUAUUAUUUGAGUAAAAUAUAAAGAUGAGUAGAACACUUAGCUGGAUAAAUGGAGGUGCUCUCCCCCAAGCUGGAUUUUGACGUAAUCUCUUCUGAUAUAGCUAGCAAGUGGCGGAGGUGUAUUUGAAUGUUAGCAGCACCCUGACAGUGAUUAGGAUGUCCUCCGUCAGCUAGUCUUCUUUGAUUCUUGAAUUCUGUGGAGCUCAAAUAGACAACAAAGCUUUGUGGAACUAGUUAAGUGUUAGCAUAAAUAUCUAGCCUUUAUCAUGUUGAGCCUCCUCAAUAAAUAUUACACUCUUUAGUAGGAUCAUGAAUUUAUUUUUAUAUUCUCAUUUUUAUAGCGCAUAAAUAUAUUUAUUUUAUUUUUAUGCCACCACAGUGAAUGUACUUAUGGGUUUUAUGCCAUGAGCAUACUCACAUAGGGCUUACUAUUUUUUUAAUAUUUUUAUUUUCUUUUCAAGAUGAUAUGAACCUGAUUAACUAAGCAAACUAUUUUAAAUAAUUGAAAGGAAAUGGAUAACUACCAAGUUUACCUCUUGGCAAGGCGUUCGGUGUUUUUACGUCCUCCGAACGGGACUCUCUGUUUUCUCAGUUGUCCUGGGAUUCGCUGGAUGACGUAGUCGGUGGUUCCGGUGGCGCCUGCUCUUUGUGUAUAACUAUCUUCUCUCGCCACACCUGACUCGGUGCUAUGGUCUCCUCAGGACAGUUCUAUUCAAGUUAUAUGUCUUCAGACCUUACUACUUCUCCUUCGUAGUCUGCCCAUCCGUCCUUGACGAUCUGCCUCCUCUGGUUGCGGUUGCAUUGUCUUCUUCUUGUCCUGACCUGCUUAGAGUCUUCAACUAUAUAGUUAGGGUCAGUAAAAUAGCGCCGUACCUUCUCAGAGGGGAAAUGCAUGUGGACUUCUCCAGUUCCAAUGUAGAUGAUUGCUUUAACGGUGCUGAGGAACGGUCUCCUAUGAAUGAUGGGUGGAUCAUACUUGUCUUCAACCUUUCGGAAUGUCUGAUCUGCCAUCUGGAGCUGAAUAUAUGUCGGUUUUAGGGGCAUAGUUCCGAAUAGGAGCUGAUAGGUGACUGCAGCCUUUAUGUUGAUGCCUGAUCUGGUGUCGUAGAGUGUCUUCUAAAAAGAAUAUCCGUUGAUUGUGCACUCAAUGCUUGGAACACCAGGGUCGUCCUUCUUGAUCAAGAAAGGUGACUUGAGUUGAUGAUCUUGACCUCCUUGAGCUGCAGUGACCAUCUUAGCUGACUCGGUACACAUUUGCUUGUUCCUAUUCCUCCUGUUGGUCCUCUUCCUUGGUUCAUGUCGGGAUUGCUCUGAGAUUUGUAUAGUCUUAUUCUUGAAGGAAAACAUCUCCUUCCUUCCCUUGAUGUAGAAACUGAUCUUUGCAGCACUAGCGUAGAUGAUAGCUCCCGAGGUGUUCAGGAAUGGCCUCCCUAGAAUGAUGGGUGCCCUCUCAUCACUACCAGUCUCUAUCACCACGAAGUCUGCUGGAGCGUAUAAGGUACCAACUCAGAUGUAGAGGUUCUUCAAUAUUCUCUUUGGGAAACUAAGCGUACGAUCUCCAAGCUGCAAACACAUGGCUGUUUCUAAUAAAGGAUGUGUAAAGAAUUUUUC